rnacentral:rRNA from 1 species
GACGAACGCUGGCGGCGUGCUUAACACAUGCAAGUCGAACGCUGAACCGGUUUCGGCCGGGGAUGAGUGGCGAACGGGUGAGUAACACGUGGGUAAUCUGCCCUGUACUCUGGGAUAAGCCUGGGAAACUGGGUCUAAUACCGGAUAUGACUACUACAGGCAUCUGUGGUGGUGGAAAGUUCCGGCGGUACAGGAUGAACCCGCGGCCUAUCAGCUUGUUGGUGGGGUAAUGGCCUACCAAGGCGACGACGGGUAGCCGGCCUGAGAGGGUGACCGGCCACACUGGGACUGAGACACGGCCCAGACUCCUACGGGAGGCAGCAGUGGGGAAUAUUGCACAAUGGGCGCAAGCCUGAUGCAGCGACGCCGCGUGAGGGAUGACGGCCUUCGGGUUGUAAACCUCUUUCGCCAGGGACGAAGCGCAAGUGACG